GAUGAACGCUGGCGGCGUGCCUAAUACAUGCAAGUCGAGCGAACAGAUGAGGAGCUUGCUCCUCUGACGUUAGCGGCGGACGGGUGAGUAACACGUGGAUAACCUACCUAUAAGACUGGGAUAACUUCGGGAAACCGGAGCUAAUACCGGAUAAUAUAUUGAACCGCAUGGUUCAAUAGUGAAAGACGGUUUUGCUGUCACUUAUAGAUGGAUCCGCGCCGCAUUAGCUAGUUGGUAAGGUAACGGCUUACCAAGGCAACGAUGCGUAGCCGACCUGAGAGGGUGAUCGGCCACACUGGAACUGAGACACGGUCCAGACUCCUACGGGAGGCAGCAGUAGGGAAUCUUCGGCAAUGGGCGAAAGCCUGACGGAGCAACGCCGCGUGAGUGAUGAAGGUCUUCGGAUCGUAAAACUCUGUUAUUAGGGAAGAACAAAUGUGUAAGUAACUAUGCACGUCUUGACGGUACCUAAUCAGAAAGCCACGGCUAACUACGUG
rnacentral:rRNA from 1 species